ACGGGACCCGCACAAGCGGUGGAUGAUGUGGUUUAAUUCGAUGCAACGCGAAAACCUUACCCACCUUUGACAUGUACGGAACCCUUUAGAGAUAGAGGGGUGCUCGAAAGAGAGCCGUAACACAGGUGCUGCAUGGCUGUCGUCAGCUCGUGUCGUGAGAUGUUGGGUUAAGUCCCGCAACGAGCGCAACCCUUGUCAUUAGUUGCUACAUUCAGUUGGGCACUCUAAUGAGACUGCCGGUGACAAGCCGGAGGAAGGUGGGGAUGACGUCAAGUCCUCAUGGCCCUUAUAGGUGGGGCUACACACGUCAUACAAUGGCUGGUACAAAGGGUUGCCAACCCGCGAGGGGGAGCCAAUCCCAUAAAGCCAGUCGUAGCCCGGAUCGUAGUCUGCAACUCGACUACGUGAAGUCGGAAUCGCUAGUAAUCGUGGAUCAGAAUGUCACGGUGAAUACGUUCCCGGGUCUU
rnacentral:rRNA from 1 species